rnacentral:rRNA from 1 species
GACGUAGGGCGCGAGCGUUGUCCGGAAUUACUGGGCGUAAAGAGCUCGUAGGCGGCUUGUCGCGUUGUUCGUGAAAAUUUACCGCUCAACGGUGAACUUGCGGGCGAUACGGGCAGGCUAGAGUACUGCAGGGGAGACUGGAAUUCCUGGUGUAGCGGUGAAAUGCGCAGAUAUCAGGAGGAACACCGGUGGCGAAGGCGGGUCUCUGGGCAACAACUGACGCUGAGGAGCGAAAGCGUGGGGAGCGAACAGG